UCCAUAUCCAAUUCCCCUCGGGCCUGGCUACAUCUCCUUCUCCCCCAGCCUCCUUCUCCACCUCCGGCCGCCGCCACGGCCAGGCCGGCGUGGUAGGUGCGCCAUCCAUCUUCACCACCCGCUUCACAACACCACCUCCUACCACUACAUCCAUCAUCAGCACCUUGAACCAUCCAGCCACUGCCGCCAUCAGCACCAAGCACCUCUCUCCUCCUUGCUGCCCCGAUCUUGCUCCUCUUCUCUCUCAACGUCCCCUGCUGCUGCUCCUUCUUCCAUGCAACCUGCUGCUGCUCCUUCUUCCUAUGCGCCCCUGCUACUCUUCUUGCACCCAAGCUACUGCUCUUCUUCUCCAACCUCCUGCUGCUGCUUCCUCUUCCUCAACCCAGCUGCUGCUUCUUUCUUGCUUCGCCCCUGCUUCUUCUUCCCCUCGACCUCCUGCUGCUACUACUCCCUCUCUCCAUCGCCUUGUUGCUUCUCUGAAUCUCCCUCACCCGCUGCUGCUCUUCCUUCUCCAAACUGCUGCUCCACUUCUCUCAACCUGCUACUGCUGCUCUCUUCUUGCCCACGCCUCUUGUUGUUGUCUUCUUCUCUGAACCCAAACUGCUGCUGCUUCUCUUCUCUCUUUACUUCUUGCAAAAUUCUGUAAACUGCUAGGUGAACUUGUGUAUUGUUCUGAACACUAAAUUUCUGUAAAAUUAUGAUAUGUAAUACUUUGAUUAGUACUCUGCCAGUGUAUGUGUAUGUUUAGCCUUGUGCAUUUGUUUCUUGCCAUCUAUUGUGAUCUGUCCCGUACUAGUAACUUUGCUCCAGUUUAUUUGAUGUUCAGUUUUCAGUCCCUGUUUUAGCUCUAGUACCCGUGACAUAGAUGUUCGUGAUAUAUAUAUAUAUAUAUAUAUAUACUAGCACAUAUGCCUGUGCGUUGCAACGGGAAAAAUUAAUGUUUUGUGCAAGUAUAAUGUCCCACAGCACCGGAUUCACUAUGAAAAAAUGCUUCAACCCUCCUUCUACAAAAUGAACAUAAAAAAUACGAUGCAAUUUAGCCGUGUUCAUAUUUUCUUUGUUGGGCAUAAUCUCCCACUGAUUCCAUCUAAGUAUAAUCCUUCCUUUAGUUACCGUGAUGUCCUCAACCGUUUUAGUCGGGAAUCAAAUCCUUCCUUCUCUAAUUUAAUAUCCCCAACACAUUGAAGCAUACAUAGCCUUCUUUACUAUCCUACCUUUUUACCUCAAGUCCUUCCUUUAAUUAGCCUCAUCUAUUUGAAAAUUCUAUUUAUUAAGACCACAAUCUUUCUUUUAAUUAGUCCACCAGUUUACCCAAAGUCCUUUUUUUAUUAGCCACAUCCGUUUAAAUAUUUUAUUUAAGUCCACAAUUCUUUCUUUAAUUAGCUCAUUUGCUUAAACACGAGGACUGUCACUCAUAUAUUUAGAGCGAGUUGGGAUUUAGUAAAUGUGAAUGACGCAUAGGUUGUUGCAUCGAAGAUCCAGACAGGAGGUCCUGUUUAAAUUCCCAUAAUGUUAAUUUUGACCUAAUUAUUUUUCACGGACUCUACGAAGCCCAUAAAAGGCCCAUCGAAAUUGAAUAGGACUGAACCAAACCAAGAAUAUCUAUUCCCUUUAAUAGUUGGACUAAACCAAACCAAGAAUACGUAUUCCCUUUAAUAGUAGGUAUAUAUAUAUAUAUCAUGUUGUUUCAUAUUUCUGUCAUGUAAUCUUGUUGGAAAUACAUAUAUGUGUGUGCUUGAUGUGAAACAAUUAUAUUCUGUCAUAUAUUUGUUUGUCGGCGAUUUUCCAUAACAGUCUUAGAUAGUGUAGGCUUAUUUUCCCACAAUCAUUCCCAUAAUUUGUGUUACCUAGAUUUAGCUGAGCAUAGUCGUCGUCGCCUAGUCCCUGUGGGGAACACGACACUCUCAGUUCGGGCGAAAUAUUCCACUAUACUUACAAUUGAUCAUUUUGGCGCCGUUGCCAGGGACUAGCGUCGAGUGAUUGUGUUAGGCUAUAGACUAGGUUUCUUGUUUUCUUUUCGUGACAUUUAUAUGUGAUAUAUAUAUCUAACCCCUAACCACUGUUCUAGUUAUUUUCUCUUCUUUUUCUUGUUUGUUUUGCAGGUUAGAACUAUCUUCUCGAUUAUGGCAUAUUACUCAGAACACCAAGGAUAUGUGAGCAACACUACAAACAGCACGGAAAGUAUUCAAGAACUGAUAAGGCCAUUCACCCGCUGAAUGUCGGCGUGGUUACUCUCACCCUCCCGAUUGUUAUGGCAUGAGCUUCGCCCCACAGCCUAGUACCAAAACAAUUACUCAUAUGGGUGGCCUGAAAACUAGAAUAUGUCAUAUAGGAGCAACAACCCUGAGAUCUCACCGUUUGCUUCUAGUAAUCAUAUGCAGGGAUUUAGGUAUGAAGAAGAGAGCAACAACUAUGCACCACAACAAUUUUAUUCACCUCCUACUCAUAUACCUCGGGACCAAGAGAUGUUUCCAAUCGAGUUAAAUGGUCCUCCAUUUGGUCAACCAACAAUUCCAGCACCUGUCGUGCAAUCUCAUGUGCAAGUGCACACACAAGAUGACUUUGAUGAUAUAGACAACCUCACAUUGCUUAGUCUCGAGUUCACUUGGAGUGCUGAAGAUGAUCCAAUUAGGCCGGUGAUACUAGAGGAAAUGAAGAAGAUCAAGAGUGGAAAAGAGCUAGUGGAAGAAGUAAGGAAAAUUGAGAAGAAUAUCAAUGUCAGGUGCACUAUCUCAUCCCUCCUUGAUCUGAGUGUUUCUGGGAUAUCCCUUGAGGUGUGUGAGGUUCCAACACUGUCACAUCCAGCUGAGCAAGAUAGCAAGAGCACAGAGGAAGAGAUACCUCGGAUUGAAGAUGAACUAGAAUACAAGGAACAAGAUGACCAAGAGCUCGAAUACCCAAGUGAACAAGUUCAAGAUCCAAUGUCUAUCUCUCCCGAAGAAGUAAAAGAAGCUGAUGUAGAUGAAGAUGAAGAACCUGAGAUUCAUCUGCCUAUUGUCAUACAAGAGCGUGAUGUCUCAGGUUCAUUCAAUCCUCUUAAUGACAUGUCCCAUUAUGUUUUGUUUGAUUCUACCUUGCUUUACAUGAUGCUAUAUAUCACUUAAGGUAGAUUUGAAGAAGUGUUUGCUUGGAUAUGAUGAUACAUAUACUGUUGGUGGCAUUGCUCAUAUUAAUGAUGAUCACACUUAUUUUCCUCAUGCCAAACCUAUGCUUAAUGAUAAAUAUCAUCUUAAUGCUAGUAUUGAGCUUGUUGAUUCCUAUCAUAGUCGACAUGUUCUAUAUUCAUAUGUUUAUAUAACUGGAUUCUUGAUUGACGACUUAGAGGGCAUCGACCCUAUCACUCGUAGUUGUUGUUUGUGUGAGUCCUAUUUCAGGUUUUUGCUUGUGCACGUAUCAAUAUAUGUUGACCAGGUUCGAGGUGACAUCCCUUGGGAUCCCGGUGGAGUCAGAGCAUGGCGAUGAGGGGAAGCAAUGGGGCACACAUAUGGAAGAGAGGAGCUGGAGCGUGCACGAGGAAGAAAAAGGAGAGGAGUCGCAAUGCAAGUGGAUGUGAGAUGAUCGAGUGAGUGACAUGAUCAAAACCCGGUGAGCUGUUUCAUGUCCCCAAUAUGAAUAUAUCAUCCAUUGAUACAUGUUGAAAUCAAUUGCUAUUUGGGUUGCUUGAGCCAUUUCUUAAACGUUGUCCCAUUGAAUUUUACCUUUGACAUAUGGUGCUUGAUGUGAAUUUGUAAACUGAUUUGUGAAUGCCUUGUAAACUAGUGAUCUACAUUCUGCAUGCUUUGCUGUAAUUAGUGAAGGUUAUUAGUUUUGAGUGCUCAAAUCCCUAGUACACUAGAAAACUUCAUCAUUUUCUGCAUUUACUUUGAUACACCUAGAUCAUCAAGUGUCAGAUGCUGAAUUUGUGCUAAGUGUGUUCCCAUUGAGAGCAAUCACCUAACCACUAUGGAUUAGCAUGCUAUGUUCCCUAGAUCGGUAGUAUGUGAACCAGACAUGGAUGAGUGAUGAUUCUUGUUUUUGUUCAUUUGAAAAGUAAAAAAGGUAUAUCUUAUAAUGAAUGAAUAAGUCUGACUACCUACAGUAGCAUGUCAUGUUCCUUGGAACGGUGGCAUGUGAAAUCGGGUUAGCUCGGGCAGUAAUUAUUAAUAAAAUUGUAAUUGUCGGACCAGGUGUAUACCAUGUUCUCUACAUCGGUGGUAUGUUCCUUUGGGGAGACAAACAAAAAAACUAACUAAUAAUUGGUCGAGCCAGGUGUAUACCUUGUUCUCGGGAUCGGUGGUAUGUUCCUUUGGUGAGAUCGACAAAAUAUUAUCAUUACUUUCUUCAAAUACAAUAAGUGAUUUCAACUACGGUGUUUUGUUCCUGGUAAUAAGUGAUCUGAUCACAAGUUUAAGUUCUUUUUGUUUUUGGGAUCAUGCUCUCUUUAGGAACCUUUUGGCACAAUCAGCAUUUGAACUUGCUAAUCUUCUUUUAUCAUUGUAGAAGUUUAAAAUGGUCAAGUCUGCUAGUAUCCUACUGUUUUGUAGCACUCUAGCCAUUAAUUUUCACUAACUAAGUCUGAAGCAUGCACUAUUUAGAGACCUACUUCACUUGACAUUCUGUAGUCAGUUCACUAUUCACUAUCUUGCUCUUGUCAUAUUCCUUUGCUUGAGGACAAGCAAAGAUUUAAGUGUGGGGGAACUUGAUAAGAACAUUUCGUAUACAUCUUUUGUCACUCAAAUAUGCGGUUUAUUGAGAUAUAUUCAUUCACUUCUUGCUAUGAACUAUUGCAUGUUUGAAUGAAAAUCAUUUAAAGGAAUCAUUUAGUAGCCAUUGUGUCUCUUUUGCAGAAAAGUGCGCAAAGGCACUAUAAACUUCAAGAUCGGGACUAGUGGCUAAGAGAACGAAGAAGAGGAGGAAGAAUGGACUUGUGCAAGAAGAAACAAAGUAACCAGGGGCUAACUAGAGAAGAGAGGGAUGUUCUUGCAAAGAAAGAAGGAAGCAGGAGGGCCAUUGUGCAAAUGGGCAGAUUGGAUCGAGGGGUCAAAAUCCCAAGUUCAUCUCCAAUUCCCCUCGGGCCUGGCUACAUCUCCUUCUCCACCAGCCUCCUUGUCCACCUCCGGCCGCCGCCACGGCCAGGCCGGCGUGGUAGGGGCGCCAUCCAUCUUCACCAUCCGCUUCACAACACCACCUCCUACCACCACAUCCGCCAUCAGCGCCUCGAACCAUCCAGCCACUGCCGCCAUCAGCACCAAGCGCCUCUCUCCUCUUUGUUGCCCCGAUCUUGCUCCUCUUCUCUCUCAACGUCCCCUGCUGCUGCUCCUUCUUCCACGCAACCUGCUGCUGCUCCUUCCUAUGCGCCCCUGCUACUCUUCUUGCACCCAAGCUACUGCUCUUCCUUCUCCAACCUCUGCUUCCUCUUCCUCAACCCAGCUACUGCUUCUUUCUUGUUUCGCCCCUGCUUCUUCUUCCCCUCGACCUCCUGCUGCUACUACUCCCUCUCUCCAUCGCCUUGCUGCUGCUCUGAAUCUCCCUCACCCGCUGCUGCUCUUCCUUCUCCAAACUGCUGCUCCACUUCUCUCAACCUACUACUGCUGCUCCCUUCUUGCCCACGCCUCUUGCUGUUGUCUUCUUCUCUGAACCCAAACUACUGCCGCUUCUCUUCUCUCUUUACUUCUUGCAAAAUUCUGUAAACUGCUAGGUGAACUUGUGUAUUGUUCUGAACACUAAAUUUCUGUAAAAUUAUGAUAUGUAAUACUUUGAUUAGUACUCUGCCAGUGUAUGUGUAUGUUUAGCCUUGUGCAUUUUUUUUCUUGCCAUCUAUUGUGAUCUGUCCCGUACUAGUAACUUUGCUCCAGUUUAUUUGAUGUUCAGUUUUCACUC